rnacentral:rRNA from 1 species
GACGAACGCUGGCGGCGUGCUUAACACAUGCAAGUCGAACGGAAAGGCCUGCUUUCCCUUGUGGAUUGCGGGUACUCGAGUGGCGAACGGGUGAGUAACACGUGAGUGAUCUGCCCCCAACUUGGGUAUAAGCCUGGGAAACUGGGUCUAAUUCCCGAUAGGACUGCAGGGUGGUGCCUGUGGUGGAAAACGAUUUUCUAGUGGUUGGGGAUGAGCUCGCGGCCUAUCAGCUUGUUGGUGGGGUAAUGGCCUACCAAGGCGGCGACGGGUAGCCGGCCUGAGAGGGUGGACGGCCACAUUGGGACUGAGAUACGGCCCAGACUCCUACGGGAGGCAGCAGUUGGGAAUAUUGCACCAUGGGCGGAAGCCUGAUGCAGCGACGCCGCGUGGGGGAUGACGGCCUUCGGGUUGUAAACUCCUUUCGACCGCGAGGAAGCCACCUGGUUGGAAGGGUGGUGACGGUAGUGGUAGAAGAAGCACCGGCUAACUACGUG